AUUUAUCACAGGCAAGUUAAGUUGAUAAAAUACCAAUCAGCAUACACGUGUAACACUUUACACCCGUGUAUUCUUUAUUUGGCAGGGACUAUGUACAACAAAUCAUCAGUCUCAGUAUGAGAAGGGAUGUGUUGCACCAGAUUUAGCUGACAGCUAAUUUACAUUUUAAUUUUAUCCCUAUAUGUAAUCCCUAGUUUGUCCCAAAGGCCCUCGAGGCAACAUUCAGGCUUCUGUGGCACCAAAGUGGUCAACUGAAACCAAUUAGAAAACUGUCUAUACAGAGGUAGCGGAAACACUGGUGCUUAUCUUUUGCUUUGCCAGCAGGAGGACGCCUGGAAAAGUAUGUUUUGGGCUGAUAUUUAGAUCUAUGAUCAUGAGGGGUUUAGACUUUUUGAGAACUUCAAGACCUGUGGAUAUAUAACAGGCCUAUUUUUGCCAUGCAAUAUGACCAGUAGAUGACAUAUUUGCUGACACAAGUAUUUAUAGAAGGCUACGUAUGAACCAGGUAUGAAGAGGUAACCAUUUGCAAUCAUACAAGCGUUUCCAUUGACAGUGACACCUCCACUCCAAAAUAUAAUUCCAGUAGACCUCUAUUCACCUCCCCUGUUACCUGACUCCUCGAGCAGUGUUUGGUGACCAUGUUAAGUGAAUGAAACCGUAAAAAUAGACUUGACAACUUGACCCCUUCUGCCAUCCUCUGAAUGAAGUUAAUAAAUAUGGCAAUCUGUCAGUGCGAAGUAGGCCUAGGCUACAGUGCGUAGGAGCAGAUGGACUUCCCACCAAUGACAUUUCGGUUACUCACCGACCUGCCCACUUGACUGGAGUUGUGCUUCCUCAUCUAGCCUGUCCUGCCAUGCCCUGCGGAGUGUGUGGAUGUCCCGCACCACUGACUAACAGCUGUUUCGGCACGGUCUCUAACAAUGGACUUUGAAACGAAGAUUUAUACCAGAAUCGGUGGAUAUGGACGAUAUAACAGAAUUGUUUCCAUAUUCAGCUGGUUUCCGAACUUUGCUGUGACGCUGAACCUUUUCUGCGACGUUUUUUACACUCUGAUUCCCGGGUCGUACCACUGUAAACCCGACCCGGCUCUUUUACCUUCAGGUUUUCUUUUCAGUAAUUAUUCCAGACAAGGGUAUCUCAAUUUUACCAUACCGUGGGUGAAUGGUUCUGGACUGAGUCACUGUGAACUUUAUAAGUACCCUAGAAACGUCUCCAACUUCAUAGACAGCAUUCCAAAGGAGAUAGUGCCAUGUACGAGAGGAUGGGAGUACGACCAAGCUGCGGCGCUUCAGAGCAACUACGUGACAGAGUGGAACCUAGUGUGUAGGGACUACUGGAAGAUUCCUCUGCAGCACAUCUGCUUCAUGACAGGGUGGAUUGUGGGAUAUGUCCUCCUGGGCACCGUGUGUGCCUGGUCAAAAACCCCCCCCCCCCCCCCCCCCCCCCCCCCUGUUGUGUUUGUAUAAUUGUAAACUACAAUUGUAUUAAUUUCACCACUGGUAUUAGGCUGUUAUGAAUGUUUAAUAUGUGUCAUGGGAAGCUAUGUAUCUCGAACUGUCUUUUCUCUAUGUUCAGGUUGGGUCGUCGACAGGGCUUCCUGCUGUCUGUGUCUUGUCCAGUCUGUUAGGAGUAGCUGUGUGUCUGUCCAACAGCCCUGUAGUGUUUCUGCUGCUACGCCUGUCUCAGGGCGCCAUGUUGGCUGGGGUCUUCCUCUCCUCUUACCUCGCCAGUAAGUACACUUGACUUACCCUACUAAUACCGCUCACUCCUGAGUACACACUUAAUGAGGCAGUUUAGGGUUGGGCAGGAUCCACAUUUUCAUAUCGUCAUACCGUCCUUCUCUUAUCCCGGG
rnacentral:lncRNA from 1 species